rnacentral:rRNA from 1 species
CAUUACCGAGUGUAAAAACUCCCCAACCCAUUGUGAACAUACCCCGCGUUGCCUCGGCGGGCUGCCCCGCGUCUCCCGAGACGCGGGGUCCGCCGGCGGCCCACGAAACCACUGUCACGCCUGGCAUCUCUGAACGCAAGCGAAAUCAGUUAAAACUUUCAACAACGGAUCUCUUGGUUCUGGCAUCGAUGAAGAACGCAGCGAAAUGCGAUAAGUAAUGUGAAUUGCAGAAUUCAGUGAACCAUCGAAUCUUUGAACGCACAUUGCGCCCGCCAGUAUUCUGGCGGGCAUGCCUGUUCGAGCGUCAUUUCAACCCUUGGGCCCCUGCCGCCCAGCGUUGGGAGGCCGCGCCUCACCGCGCGCCUCCCCAAAUUCAGUGGCGGGGCCGGCNNGCGCUCCAGACGUAGUAGAUCUCUAUCUCGCCUGCAGCGCCCGCCGGCNUCCCGCCGUAAAACACCCCACGUCUAAAGGUUGACCUCGGAUCAGGUAGGAAUACCCGCUGAACUUAAGCAUAUCAAUAAGCGGAGGAAAAGAAACCAACAGGGAUUGCCCCAGUAACGGCGAGUGAAGCGGCAACAGCUCAAAUUUGAAAUCUGGCCCUCGGGUCCGAGUUGUAAUUUGUAGAGGAUGCUUCUGGCGCGGUGCCUUCCGAGUUCCCUGGAACGGGACGCCUUAGAGGGUGAGAGCCCCGUACGGU